GAUGAACGCUGGCGGCGUGCCUAAUACAUGCAAGUCGAGCGAACAGACGAGGAGCUUGCUCCUCUGACGUUAGCGGCGGACGGGUGAGUAACACGUGGAUAACCUACCUAUAAGACUGGGAUAACUUCGGGAAACCGGAGCUAAUACCGGAUAAUAUAUUGAACCGCAUGGUUCAAUAGUGAAAGACGGUUUUGCUGUCACUUAUAGAUGGAUCCGCGCCGCAUUAGCUAGUUGGUAAGGUAACGGCUUACCAAGGCAACGAUGCGUAGCCGACCUGAGAGGGUGACCGGCCACACUGGAACUGGGACACGGUCCAGACUCCUACGGGAGGCAGCAGUAGGGAAUCUUCCGCAAUGGGCGAAAGCUUGACGGAGCAACGCCGCGUGAGUGAUGAAGGUCUUCGGAUCGUAAAACUCUGUUAUUAGGGAAGAACAAAUGUGUAAGUAACUAUGCACGUCUUGACGGUACCUAAUCAGAAAGCCACGGCUAACUACGUG
rnacentral:rRNA from 1 species